rnacentral:lncRNA from 1 species
CUGGGUGGCAGAUUUUGAGAGCAGCCAGUCCAGACUGCAGCAAGGGGAGAGAGAGCUCCAGGAAGGAUAUCUUCCAAAAAAGGGUUUACGCUGGCAGAACAUAUGGAGAGGAGAUUUCCAUUUCUGAAGCAGGGUUUGGGAUGAUUUCAGUAGAGGCACAGUCUCGCUCUGUCACCCAGGCUGGAGUGAAGUGGUCCAAUCUCAGCUCGCUGCAACUUCUGCCUCCCAGGUUCAAGCAAUUCUCUGCCUCAGCCUCCUGAGUAGCUGAGAUUACAGAUGUGCUUGCUUCACCUUAGCCCUUCUGCCAUGAUUGUAAGCUUCCUAAGCCUCCCCAGCAAUGCCUCCUCUACAGCCUGUGGAACUGCUGAUAGGCAGAAGUGACGUGCCUUGUGUCAGAUGAGACUUUGGACUUGGACUUUUGAGUUAAUGCUGGAAUGAACAUGCUUGCUUCCCCUUUGUCCUUCUGCCAUGAUUGUGAGUUUCCUGAGGCCUCCCCAACCAUGCAUCCUGCACAGCUUGUGGAACUAGACUCAACUGUGUGGGUUAAGACUUGGCCAUGGCACACCAAGGAUACCCCGUCUCUGCUCUGCAAUGUCUGAGGAUUCAGCUGGAAGACUUGAGAACUGGAGGAUGGGAUCAACUGAAGGCUCAUUAAUUCACUCAUCUAUCCUGGUUCCAGAAGCAGAUGGGCAGACAAGGAGACAAGCAGAGGAAUGUCAAAAUGCUGCGGCAGAAAGAGAGAAGAGGAGGAAUGUCUCAACACUAAGAGUUUAGCCCGGGGCGGUUCAGCUGCCGGAAGGCCAAACUCCAGGAGAAGCCCAUCUUCCUACUCCGUCCUCCCUUCAGGUUCUCCAUCCAUCCUGCUGAGAGCCACCUCCGCCAUUCAGUAAGACCCCCACAUUUAUCCUUCAAGUGCAUGUGUGACCCAGUUCUUCCAGGAUGCUGGACAAGAGCUUGGGAUACAUAAAGCUGUCACACUGGCCCUCUGCCCUUGCUCGCUAACACUCAAGCCAUUCGCAGACGGCUAAAAGAGCACAUUGUAACACGUGCCCACUUGGACUCCUGCACCUGCCCAUCUGCAUGCUUUCCAUCCUGUAAGGGGUUUGAGUGGUGUCAGCAAUCUAACAGACAAGCCACACCCUUGUUUCACGUCCUGUGAGAGGGGUCAGGGAACUCUUCUGUUUCAUCAUUACCCAACUUUGGAACUCAAGAAAGGACUCACAGGGAAAUUCUUGCAGAAUCUCGUGGAAAAUCUCACAUGUAUUUGUGAAAAUACAAUGUGGAUCUGUGAGAUCCCACUUCAACACAGGCCACGGGGCCACCUUCUGCACCCACAUGGGUUGUUUUAAGUCUUCCUUAGUCUCCUUGAGAAUAACAUGAUGCUAUGAUGUUGGCAGGAAUCUUCCACACCUUCCAAAACAUGACAAUAUGGGUCAAGCCCGUGCAGAGACUGUGGCUCCUGCUUUGGGAGUCACCUGGAAUUGUUGAGAGAUUAGCAAAUCCCAGAACCAGGUUUGUUAGAAUUAACUGCUCAACCAGAUUGUAUUGAAAAUGGUCUGAAGUCAAAGACGACAGACGCAAACGGGCUAAAUUGCUCAGUUAAUUCUUCCAUUUCUCUUCCUCCUAGUUGUUCUAGCUUCAGGGAGGACUCAGGAGAGUACUGUUUGAAAACCACUGAUCUAGUUUACACUUUCAUUUUACAGAGAGGAAACUGAGAGCCACAGAGAUUCAAGUGACUCAUCCAAGAUGACCCAAACCCUGGGGUUUGUUAUUGUUUUUCACACUAUGCAAAGCACUAAAAAACAUUCGUUUGAAACAGGUGAACAAAAGUCUAAUUUGUAGUGAGGUCUAGGGGAAUGACUGUCCAGUCAAUUCCUCAAUUCAUGAAGGAGCAUUUGGGACGCCACAGAGGAACAUACACAGGUAUCCCUCCUCCUACCCGACACCAUUCAGGAAGAGCGGUUACCCCUCCAAUGCACUGAAGCAGAUUCAUUUCCCUCAGGACUGUGGGAGGCGACUGAGGCUGAGUGAAUGAUACAGCCUUUUAAUUUGUUUUUAAUUGUCGUGUCCUGGUAACCCUUCCAAAGACCCUUCACGGAGAGUAGUUUUAUUUUUCCACUUAUUAACCGCAUUCACUAGACUGGAAAAAGAAUUCCCUAUCUCCCAAGAACUCUCCCUUUCAUUCUUGUAAUUCCUUUUUUUUUUUUUUUUUUUUUAGCACCAGGAAAGUAAUGUGUGUAAAACUAGAGCCAAG